rnacentral:rRNA from 1 species
AUUGAACGCUGGCGGCAGGCCUAACACAUGCAAGUCGAACGAGUGGCGGACGGGUGAGUAAUGUCUGGGGAACUGCCUGAUGGAGGGGGAUAACUACUGGAAACGGUAGCUAAUACCGCAUACCAUCAGAUGAACCCAGAUGGGAUUAGCUUGUUGGUGGGGUAACGGCUCACCAAGGCGAAGAUCCCUAGCUGGUCUGAGAGGAUGACCAGCCACACUGGGACUGAGACACGGCCCAGACUCCUACGGGAGGCAGCAGUGGGGAAUAUUGCACAAUGGGCGCAAGCCUGAUGCAGCCAUGCCGCGUGUAUGAAGAAGGCCUUCGGGUUGUAAAGUACUUUCAGUCGGGAGGCGUUACCCGCAGAAGAAGCACCGGCUAACUCCGUGCCAGCAGCCGCGGUAAUUC